GGGGAGUCUUAGGCCCCCACGGAUGAGCGUGUUAAUAGCUGUGCCUUUGGCCGGGCAUGGUGGUUAGUGAAUC
rnacentral:ncRNA from 1 species